GUUUUGUGGGACUUUUGAUAGAAGCUUGUCUACAAGCGUCACGGGCACAUCUGGUAUACCAACAAUAAAUUCAAAAAUGGAACUCUGAUCGACAGUAAUGCAGGCCAAGGCAUUUGGAGUCUUGCUCAUUAUGUAAUCUUCUAAACCUUUCCAAUCAUCCUCCAAUAUAUACCUCGUAACUUGCUUGUAGUUAGCAAUAUCCUUUAUUAUCUUCUCAUCUGUCCAUCAAUUAUCGAACGUACAGCAAU
rnacentral:lncRNA from 1 species